AUUGAGUUUGUCUGGCUCAGAUUGAACGCUGGCGGCAGGCUUAACACAUGCAAGUCGAGCGGUAACAGGGGAGCUUCUGCGUAAGAUUAGCUAGUUGGUAGGGUAAAGGCCUACCAAGGCGACGAUCUUUCUGGUCUGAGAGGAUGACCAGUCACACUGGGACUGAGACACGGCCCAGACUCCUACGGGAGGCAGCAGUGGGGAAUAUUGGACAAUGGGGCUCCUGCUGACGAGCGGCGGACGGGUGAGUAACGCGUAGGAAUCUACCUAGUAGAGGGGACACAUUGAAAGCAUGCUAAUACCGCAUACGCCCUACGGGGGAAAGGAGGGGACUUUUCGGAGCCUUCCCUAUUAGAUGAGCCGGAAGCCUGAUCCAGCCAUGCCGCGUGUGUGAAGAAGGCCUUAGGGUUGUAAAGCACUUUCAGGGGUGAGGAAGGGUAGCUAGUUAAUACCUAGUUAUCUUGACGUUAGCCCCAGAGAAGCACCGGCUAACUUGUGCCAGCAGCCGCGGUAAUACAGAGGGUGCAAGCGUUAAUCGGAAUUACUGGGCGUAAAGCGCGCGUAGGUGGUUUGUUAAGUCGGAUGUGAAAUCCCAGGGCUCAACCUUGGAAUGGCACCCGAUACUGGCAGGCUAGAGUAUGGUAGAGGGGUGUGAAUUUCCUGUGUAGCGGUGAAAUGCGUAGAUAUAGGAAGGAACAUCAGUGGCGAGUGGCGCAGCUAACGCAAUAAGUAGACCGCCUGGGGAGUACGGCCGCAAGGUUAAAACUCAAAUGAAUUGACGGGGGCCCGCACAAGCGUGGAGCAUGUGGUUUAAUUCGACGCAACGCGAAGAACCUUACCUACUCUUGACAUCCAGUGAAUCCAGAAGAGAUUUUGGAGUGCCUUCGGAACACUGAGACAGGUGCUGCAUGGCUGCGCUAGUAAUCGUGAAUC
rnacentral:rRNA from 1 species